AUUGAACGCUGGCGGCAUGCUUUACACAUGCAAGUCGAACGGGGUGGUGGGGCAACCCGCCAUUCAGUGGCGAACGGGUGAGUAAUGCAUCGGAACGUGUCCCGUAGUGGGGGAUAACCCGGCGAAAGCCGGACUAAUACCGCAUAUGCUCUGCGGAGGAAAGCGGGGGACCUGAAAGGGCCUCGCGCCAUGGGAGCGGCCGAUGUCCGAUUAGCUAGUUGGUGGGGUAACGGCUCACCAAGGCUUCGAUCAGUAUCCGGCCUGAGAGGGCGGACGGACACACUGGGACUGAGACACGGCCCAGACUCCUACGGGAGGCAGCAGUGGGGAAUUGUUCGCAAUGGGCGCAAGCCUGACGACGCAACGCCGCGUGGAGGAUGAAGAUUUUCGGAUCGUAAACUCCUGUCGAGUGGGAAGAAUAGCUUCCGGGCGAAUAUCCCGGAAGUCUGACGGUACCACUAAAGGAAGCCCCGGCUAACUCCGUGCCAGCAGCCGCGGUAAUAC
rnacentral:rRNA from 1 species